rnacentral:tRNA from 1 species
GCCUGGGUGGCUCAGUCAGUUAAGCAUCUGACUUCUGCUCAAGUCAGGAACCAGUUUGUGAGUUCGAAACUUGCCUCCGGCU